ACACGACUACAUUAGAUACCCGCGUAGUCCUAGCCGUAAACGAUACUCGCUAGGUGUCGGCCACGGUGCGACCGUUGUCGGUGCCGUAGGGAAGCCGUGAAGCGAGCCACCUGGGAAGUACGGCCGCAAGACUGAAACUUAAAGGAAUUGGCGGGGGAGCACAACAACGGGUGGAGCUUGCGGUUUAAUUGGAUUCAACGCCGGAAAUCUUACCGGGACCGACAGCAACAUGAAGGCCAAGCUGAAGACUUUGCCGGAUUAGCUG
rnacentral:rRNA from 1 species